GGGCUCCUGCAAGCGAGAGCACCGUGUGUCACACGCCACGAUACAGGGCGCCCUCUGUCACGCACAAACACGCCACACACGCCCCCCACUGCUCCUCUGCCACAACCCAGCGCUCACAUCUGCAUGUUGAGGCAUAACGUCCAUUCAUACACAUUGCACACAUGCGAUAUCCAUUAGUCAGACAAACGAUUAAAAUAUUUAAUCACGAUUAAUCACAUUUAUGUCAUAGUUAACCCCAAAUUAAUCACAAUUAAUCACACAUUUAUAUCUAUUCUAAAUGUAAUGUAUUUUUUUUCAGAUUUUUUUUUCAUUUGAAUGCUCUUAUCAACAUGGAACAGUGGAUCCACUCGCUUUAUGCAAAGGUUUUAUUUUAUUGAAAAACAACUUUGCCGAACAGGGGGGUGCAAAAUAAAGUGAUAAAGUGCACAUUUCAGGUAAACAAGGACUAGAGUGACUGACUCUGUUAUUCCCAGAAGUCUCCUUUCAGAAGUCUCCUUCCAGAAGCCUCCUUCCAGAGGUCUCCUUCCAGAAGCCUCCUUCCAGAGGCCUCCUUCCAGAAGCCUCCUUCUAGAGGCCUCCUUCCAGAGGCCUCCUUCCAGAGGUCUCCUUCCAGAGGUCUCCUUCCAGAAGCCUCCUUCCAGAGGCCUCCUUCCAGAAGUCUCCUUCCAGAAGCCUCCUUCCAGAGGCCUCCUCUCUCUCCGAUAUCACCGCCGCGGGAAAUGGAAUUUUUUGACAGGAUCAAAACAAGUUGUAAGCCGUUUGAGUUUCUGACAAAGACAAUGUUCGUGAUUCUGGCGCCUUGAGGAAAGCGACAGCAUCACAAUGAGUCCUCUGUCUGUCCCAAACGUGUCCACACACACACACACACACACACACACACACACACACACACACACACACACACGCAGACACACACAGUGUGUUCUAGCAGGGAGGGUACUGGGAAGCUCUUCAGUUUUAGUGGUUUUCCAGUGGAAUCUGUCUCAUACCUGUGUGUCAGGGCUCAGUGAAGCGCAUGUCUCUGCGUAUCCUGGAGGGGCAUGCGGGGGCCGAGAGGCGGGGCUUAGGACUGUACUCCACUUGUGUGUCUGUGUGUGUCUGUGUGUGUGUGUGUGUGUGUGUGACAGCUCUGGUUUCAUCCAACAGGGACGCAAACAUUCACCUUCAGGAAUCCUUCAGGUUAUUGUUUUUAAAAACAGCUGAGAACUGAGAGAAAAAAGCAGGGAGGAGCUGUCUGUCAUCACACAAGCCCCUCCCCUUCCUCUCUCACACACACACACACUUUAAGCUACGAUAAGCGCUUGGAAACAGUUCAAUCAGUGAGAGAUUUUCUCUACUGAACAAACAGACCCACACCAGCAUGUACAGACAACCCUGAACUCCUCAACUCUCUCCACACACACAUGAACGCACACACACACACACACACACACACACACACACACACUCAUAACAAACAACAAGUUGAUUGAGGACAAAAUCUGGAUCUGAACGUGCGCCUUCUCUUUAUGUUGGAGACUUCACCACCUUUUCAAUGGCUUGCUGACUUGUUUUUAUAUUAUCAGCUCCUCUUCGAUGAGCCGACGCUAGGCGGCUAACAGGAAGCUAGCUCGUCAUCAUUGUUGCGUGAGCUUGAUUAAAUCACUUCACUUGUUCUACGAACUCCAGCAGGAUUUAUGAGUUUGGGUGUGAAGGAAGGGUCACGCGUCUGCGUUGGCAUUUGCAGUGCGCACGCUAGGUGUUAGCAUUCAGGCUAGCUGCUAUGUGCUAGUCUGCAGAGAGAGACGUGGUGGACGUAGGAAGGCGUCUGAUGCUCCUCUCUGGUCCAUGUUUACCGUCUACGAGAGAACAGAAAACAUCUGCUGCCUGGAGACAGGAGGACGGAUCCAUCGAGACAUGGGAGAACCACCGGGGGGGGGGGGGGGGGGGAAUCAACAGAUAAUAAUUGCCUGACAAUUCUCCCUCCCUCACACAAGGGGGGGGGGGGGGGGCGUGCAGAGAGAAAAAACAAGGACAACGAGGAGCAGAUGUGAAAAACACACAGAUACACACCGAGUCUGGUAGUCUGCCCAAGACUUACCGAGCUGCCCCCCCCCCCCCCCACACACACACACACACAUCAACACCAUCCACCAUCAUCAGAGGAAACAGCUGCACGGGCCGCGUGGGUUGAAAUGGGUUUUUCAGAUACCCCUUGACUUUCCGAGACAGGAAGCUUGGGAAGGAGCCUCCAGGAAGUGGCUCUCACAGCAGAGUGGGGGGGCGAACACAAUUUUCAAGUGUUUGCGUGCCGGAGGGAGACACGGCGCUUUUAUGAGCCGUCAAUCAAUCAGUCAGCAGCCCAUCAAACCAUGAGCUGCUGACGUCUCGGAAGGUUCGGUACCGGGACAUGAAACCACCUCAGGCUGCAGGAGAAGCUCCUUCACCUGCAGCUUCUAUCCACCAGCCCCCUGUGACGCACUGUGAGGACGCUCUCUGUGGACACUUGUUCAUGUGCAACAUCUCAGCUCGCCGCUGUUCUAAUGUAAGGUAACACUGUCUGUCAAAUAACAGACAGAAAAGACACUGAGUCAGUGACAGAAAGACAGCGGCAGAGGGACAGUCACAAAGACAGAGGGACAGUCACAAAGACAGAGAGACAGAGGGACAGUCACAAAGACAGAGAGACAGAGGGACACUCACAAAGGCAGAGGGACAGUCACAAAGACAGAGAGACAGUCACAAAGACAGAGAGACAGAGGGACAGUCACAAAGACAGAGAGAAUUUUAGAAGUUUAUGUAAAAACACUGCGAGCACAAAGACUUUGUGUCAGUCGCUCUUCACACUGGUGUGAUUCUCCUUGUCAGAGAAAUAUUCCUCUUCACCUGAGGGAACCGCCCCCCUGCACCUCCUCUUCCACCUGAGGGUGAGGCGAGGUAAGGUCCUCCGGAGAGGGCCACGAGGGGGCUAAUGUUCUAAUAAAAUGUUGGGUUUAGAAUUUUGGUUAAAAACCUUUAAAACCAACCAUAACAAAUUCUCUUCAAAGGUUAUUCUCAUAAGAGGAUAUUAAAACCUUUAUUAACAAGCCUAUAUCGAGGCUGUCCCCAUCACCUCGUUUGUUGAAAAGGUUUUGAGGUCCCUUAUGUUUUUUUGUCUUUCAGGUUCUCAAUCCGGCGUGGAGUGGAGGUGAGGUGGCUUCCAGCGGGGGGGUCAAGUCAAGCUAGAGGGAUCUUUUUUAUAGAUAGAUAGUUUUCUUCUUUUUGACAGGUUUGGUCUCUGACUGCCUCUGGGACUUAGAGGGUUAGUAGACCCACAGCUCAGUUAGGAUCCAGAUCUCCAAUCUGGAGAGGGGUACUAGAGGGGGGUUAGGUUUAGGGCUAAAGGGAGUUUAGGAUAAGGGUCCAAGGCGGGGCUAGGGAUGGGAUUGGGAUCUGGAUCUGGUGCUGGAGGGAGGGCCCGACCGGAGGUGAUGGCUUAGCCCAGGUCGGGCACCAAGGUCCGGGCGGGCGUCAGGGACUGGUACGGUGCUGGAUGCGUUUUCCUCUUCCGGUAGCGACAGGGUCCAGGUUUCAAUGGAAGACUCGGUAAGUGGUUUUAUAUAGCGGCCUCUGGCAUCUGAGACCGCUUUUGCCAUUGACUCUGUCUCCACAGGCCCAAUGCCAGGACAUAUUCUCCCGCAUCCAAUUUGAAGAGUUGUCUAUGAUUUCUGCCACUACUUCAGGGUUGAUAGAUGAUGGUUUUAUGGUGGAGGCAAGUUUAGUUAUUCAUUUCAACAUUUGUGUGAAUCAGCACACAAACUAAAGGAAUGUUUAAUGCUGAGUCUUUAACCUUUGCUUCGGAAUCCACAUUAUUUACUGUGCACAUGUACGAGUCUGUCUUACACAACUUCAUGGCCUUUAUUUAGUGUAUUCUUCAUGCUCCAUGCUUCAUGCACAGGUCCUCGUGUUGUUUACCCGUCUAACAGAGGCCCACGGAGGCCGGACGGGUUCGGGUCACUUGGAGAAUGUUCUCUCUGGAGCUGCCUCGGAUCAGUUGUGUGAUUACUGAACACACUUACCAGCUGACUACCAAAAGAAAAGCUGUGAUAAGUCAGCACAAUAACUUCUGCGUGCAGUAACCAUGGAGAUGAGCAAGGUCACACUGAACCACCGGGAAACCCGUUACCCAGGAUGCACGUGGUUUCACAGAGGGAGAAGCAGAGACGUUACUCAUCAAACACGGCAGAUAGAAGGCUUGACGACACGUGAUGGACAGAGCGACGAGCUGAGGAGGAACACCAGGAGACAACGAGAGGAGAAGGAGCAAGAUAGUGGGUCAGCCCAGCUUGGCGUUGACCUCAAAUGACCUGUGGGGGCUGCUGUCUGCCAACAUGUCAAAGAGUCUGGAGUGGAAGCAGAGCGCUCAUCAUCCGCUAUCUCAGUGUGACCGCAGAGCUUCAUGAGGAGGACCAUUGUUGCUCUGUCUGUGAAGGGUUUUUCUAGACAACGUGAAUGUUCCUGUCAUGUCCUUCAAUAUUGUGGCUUCAGGUAAAGUAUUGUUUCUGUGAAAGAGUUUAACAACAGACAACAAGUCGACAGUAGCUCGCUGGUCCCAGAGAAAAAGAGGAUUAGCUUCUAAACAAGUGUUGUAAUUCUUUGACACAAUAAUACAAGUGUUCUUUCUUCGAGAGAGCACCAGAACCUGAGGGGGCCCGUCUCAUCAUCGCCUCACAGAGACGUGCAGAAGGCGUUGGAGAAGUGUCUUGAGAGUCUAGUGAAGGGCUCAUCCACGUCCUACAGGGUCCGUCAUCAGGAAUCAGGAAACAUUUAUUGCCAAAAUAUGUCAAACAUACAAGGAAUUUGUCUUGGCGGUUGGUGCGUGACAGCAGACAGUAACAAUAAGACAGGCGUGCAUGAACACCAACACAUCCCUGGGCCUCCUGGACCCCACCAACGCAUCUCUGGGCCUCCUGGACCACACCAACGCAUCUCUGGGCCUCCUGGACCACACCAACACAUCUCUGGGCCUCCUGGACCCCACCAACACAUCUCUGGGCCUCCUGGACCACACCAACACAUCUCUGGGCCUCCUGGACCACACCAACACAUCUCUGGGCCUCCUGGACCACAC
ensembl:lncRNA